UUACUAUGUAUCUCAACACUUUCAUCAUUACAUAUGAUUACACAUGUAUUUUUUCAAUUUUAUUACACACACACACAUAUUUAAAAUGAACAUAUAUUAAACAAGUUCGAGAAGCCCACUUAAUGAGCGCGAUUUAAGUUCCCGGUUUCUAAUCGUAAUUUAAACAAUAAUUCCAUAAACAAUUGUUGAAUGAAAUUGGUAACCUAUAUAGUACGAGUAUACUGUUCUGGUGUGU